AGUGAACGCUGGCGGUAGGCCUAACACAUGCAAGUCGAACGGCAGCACAGUAAGAGCUUGCUCUUACGGGUGGCGAGUGGCGGACGGGUGAGGAAUACAUCGGAAUCUACUUUUUCGUGGGGGAUAACGUAGGGAAACUUACGCUAAUACCGCAUACGACCUACGGGUGAAAGCAGGGGAUCUUCGGACCUUGCGCGAUUGAAUGAGCCGAUGUCGGAUGAGCUAGUUGGCGGGGUAAAGGCCCACCAAGGCGACGAUCCGUAGCUGGUCUGAGAGGAUGAUCAGCCAGACUGGAACUGAGACACGGUCCAGACUCCUAAGGGAGGAAGCAGUGGGGAAUAUUGGACAAUGGGCGCAAGCCUGAUCCAGCCAUACCGCGUGGGUGAAGAAGGCCUUCGGGUUGUAAAGCCCUUUUGUUGGGAAAGAAAAGCAGCAGGUUAAUACCCCGCUGUUCUGACGGUACCCAAAGAAUAAGCACCGGCUAACUUCGUG
rnacentral:rRNA from 1 species